UGACAGUAAGAACAACAUUGGAGAAGCUCUGGUCUAGAGAACAUCCCACUUCACAGACGUGGAAAGUGAGGCCCAGGAAGGGUGAGGAAUGUGACCUACCUAUCUUCCUUAGAGGCUCAUCUUCUAUGUGAUUUUCCUCCUCCUUCAUCAACAGGUGGAGUCUAACUCUCCCCUCUUUGAAUUUGGAAGCCCACAUGCACUUGAGGUCCUGAGCUGCCCUGUUAGAAGCCCGAGUUCCUGGAGCCGAGCCACAUGGAAAGUUUGGUAUAGGUGCUCUGGUGUUCAGGUCCUCCUAACGACACCAUCUUGGAAAAAGUCGAGUAUAAAAAUGAACGAUCAGAAUGAGAUCUUGCCAUUUGCAACGACGUGGAUGGAACUGGAGGGUGUUAUGCUGAGUGGAAAUAAGUCAAUCAGAGAAAGACAUGUAUCCUA